CACGUAGGGCGCAAGCGUUGUCCGGAAUUAUUGGGCGUAAAGAGCUCGUAGGCGGUCUGUUGCGUCCGCUGUGAAAACUCGGGGCUUAACCCCGAGCCUGCAGUGGAUACGGGCAGACUAGAGGUAGGUAGGGGAGAAUGGAAUUCCCGGUGUAGCGGUGAAAUGCGCAGAUAUCGGGAAGAACACCAGUGGCGAAGGCGGCUCUCUGGGACGGUACUCACGCUGAGACGCGAAAGCGUGGGGAGCAAACAGG
rnacentral:rRNA from 1 species